rnacentral:tRNA from 1 species
GGAGGGGUGCCCGAGUGGUCAAAGGGAGCAGACUGUAAAUCUGCCGGCGAUUGCCUUCAAAGGUUCAAAUCCUUUCCCCUCCACCA